rnacentral:rRNA from 1 species
CAGCAGCCGCGGUAAUACGUAGGUGGCAAGCGUUGUCCGGAAUUAUUGGGCGUAAAGCGCGCGCAGGCGGAUAGGUCAGUCUGUCUUAAAAGUUCGGGGCUUAACCCCGUGAUGGGAUGGAAACUGCCAAUCUAGAGUAUCGGAGAGGAAAGUGGAAUUCCUAGUGUAGCGGUGAAAUGCGUAGAUAUUAGGAAGAACACCAGUGGCGAAGGCGACUUUCUGGACGAAAACUGACGCUGAGGCGCGAAAGCCAGGGGAGCGAACGGGAUUAGAUACCCCAGUAGUCCCUGUCUCUUAUACA